GCUCUAGUAGCUUAGCCCCAAAGCACCGGUCUUGUAAACCGGAGACCGGGGGUUAAAUCCCCCCCUAGUGCC
rnacentral:tRNA from 1 species